GUCUUUUAUUUCUUUUCAAAAAUACCAUUUGGAAGAAAAAGUGAAAAUGAGGUGAAUUUUCUUGUCUUUCUCAGUAAUAAAGUCCAAGGACAAAAUGUAUAGGUGUGAAGAGGGAGGAAAAAAGGAAGAAGACCAGAAAAAUAAAAAGGAAAAUAAAAGGAAGAGAAAAGAAUUAAAAGAUAUUAUAUGGAGUGAUUUUAUUCAAAUGAGUACAUAAUCUCCCAGAUGAGGAUGAAUGCCACUGACUGACCACCCCAAAAUUAUUGGACCUAUCCAAUUGGAAGCUACCUUCGUACCCCUCAACCUGGUUUGGCUCCAAGUAAGGGAAAGUCAAACUUCACACAUGAAGAGGAAGAACGCACGGAAAUCAACCCUAAUUCUUCUCAACUUGGCAAAAAUAAAUUUUCCAGAGACUGUGAAGUCCAGACUGGCCCUGUGCUAUCAUCUGUUCCCAUCUUCCUCAACUUUAUAUGGGAUGCCACCACAGCUUUGCCUGACAAGUGGUGCCUCAGUGCCUGCCCAGGAUCUGAACCCAGGCCACCAGCAGAGGAGCGUGUGCCCUUAACGGCUACUACGGCAUGGGGCCGCCCACCUACAAUUAUUGAUGAUGAAGAGAUUAGGGAAGGACUAACUGAUGAGGUGAUAUUUGAGCA